rnacentral:rRNA from 1 species
GAUGUACGCUGGCGGCGUGCUUAACACAUGCAAGUCGAACGAAGCACCUUGAUUUGAUUCUUCGGAUGAAGAUCUUGGUGACUGAGUGGCGGACGGGUGAGUAACGCGUGGGUAACCUGCCUCAUACAGGGGGAUAACAGUUAGAAAUGACUGCUAAUACCGCAUAAGACCACAGCACCGCAUGGUGCAGGGGUAAAAACUCCGGUGGUAUGAGAUGGACUCGCGUCUGAUUAGGUAGUUGGAGGGGUAACGGCCCACCAAGGCGACGAUCAGUAGCCGGUCUGAGAGGAUGAACGGCCACAUUGGGACUGAGACACGGCCCAG